rnacentral:rRNA from 1 species
GCAACUUACCUAUCAGAGGGGGAUAACCCGGCGAAAGUCGGACUAAUACCGCAUGAAGCAGGGGCCCCGCAUGGGGAUAUUUGCUAAAGAUUCAUCGCUGAUAGAUAGGCAUGCGUUCCAUUAGGCAGUUGGCGGGGUAACGGCCCACCAAACCGACGAUGGAUAGGGGUUCUGAGAGGAAGGUCCCCCACAUUGGUACUGAGACACGGACCAAACUCCUACGGGAGGCAGCAGUGAGGAAUAUUGGUCAAUGGGCGUAAGCCUGAACCAGCCAAGUCGCGUGAGGGAUGAAGGUUCUAUGGAUCGUAAACCUCUUUUAUAAGGGAAUAAAGUGCGGGACGUGUCCCGUUUUGUAUGUACCUUAUGAAUAAGGAUCGGCUAACUCCGUGCCAGCAGCCGCGGUAAUACGGAGGAUCCGAGCGUUAUCCGGAUUUAUUGGGUUUAAAGGGUGCGUAGGCGGCCUUUUAAGUCAGCGGUGAAAGUCUGUGGCUCAACCAUAGAAUUGCCGUUGAAACUGGGGGGCUUGAGUAUGUUUGAGGCAGGCGGAAUGCGUGGUGUAGCGGUGAAAUGCUUAGAUAUCACGCAGAACCCCGAUUGCGAAGGCAGCCUGCCAAGCCAUGACUGACGCUGAUGCACGAAAGCGUGGGGAUCAAACAGGAUUAGAUACCCUGGUAGUCCACGCAGUAAACGAUGAUCACUAGCUGUUUGCGAUACACUGUAAGCGGCACAGCGAAAGCGUUAAGUGAUCCACCUGGGGAGUACGCCGGCAACGGUGAAACUCAAAGGAAUUGACGGGGGCCCGCACAAGCGGAGGAACAUGUGGUUUAAUUCGAUGAUACGCGAGGAACCUUACCCGGGUUUGAACGCAUUCGGACCGAGGUGGAAACACCUUUUCUAGCAAUAGCCGUUUGCGAGGUGCUGCAUGGUUGUCGUCAGCUCGUGCCGUGAGGUGUCGGCUUAAGUGCCAUAACGAGCGCAACCCUUGCCACUAGUUACUAACAGGUAAAGCUGAGGACUCUGGUGGGACUGCCAGCGUAAGCUGCGAGGAAGGCGGGGAUGACGUCAAAUCAGCACGGCCCUUACAUCCGGGGCGACACACGUGUUACAAUGGCGUGGACAAAGGGAUGCCACCUGGCGACAGGGAGCGAAUCCCCAAACCACGUCUCAGUUCGGAUCGGAGUCUGCAACCCGACUCCGUGAAGCUGGAUUCGCUAGUAAUCGCGCAUCAGCCAUGGCGCGGUGAAUACGUUCCCGGGCCUUGUACACACCGCCCGUCAAGCCAUGGGAGCCGGGGGUACCUGAAGUCCGUAACCGCGAGGAUCGGCCUAGGGUAAAACUGGUGACUGGGGCUAAGUCGUAACA